GUAUCCAAGUAAAUCUUGAAUGGUUAAUGAUGCUUGGUUACCUUGAUAUUAAUAAAAAAACAAAUUAUUCCCAAUGUACAAAAUAUUCAAAUUUUUGAUUUUGAUACCUUUAUUAUUUGUGAAUAUAAUUCGUACAUGUGCAAAUAUUUAAGUUUAACAGCAAACAAAUCUUCUUUGUAA